GUGGGAGAGCGCUUCGUUCACACCGAAGAGGUCACUGGUUCGAACCCAGUAUCGCCCA
rfam:Streptomyces sp. MnatMP-M17 genome assembly, contig: Ga0115259_11497